AUUGAACGCUGGCGGCAGGCCUAACACAUGCAAGUCGAGCGGAGCGGCGGCCGGGUGAGUAAUGCCUAGGAAUCUGCCUGGUAGUGGGGGAUAACGUCCGGAAACGGGCGCUAAUACCGCAUACUAUCAGAUGAGCCUAGGUCGGAUUAGCUAGUGGGUGGGGUAAAGGCCUACCAAGGCGACGAUCCAUAACUGGUCUGAGAGGCUGAUCAUUCACGCUGGAACUGGGACACGGUCCAGAUUCCUACGGGAGGAAGCAGGGGGGAAUAUUGGACAAUGGGCGAAAGCCUGAUCCAGCCAUGCGGCGUGUGUGAAGAAGGUCUUCGGAUUGUAAAGAACGUUAAGUUGGGAGGCGUUACCCACAGAAUAAGCACCGGCUAACUUCGUGCCAGCCGCCGCGGUAAUUC
rnacentral:rRNA from 1 species